rnacentral:rRNA from 1 species
CCCCUAGCGAAAGCGACUGGACUAACUAGCAAUAUUAAUAAUUAAUAUUGAUUGUUAUAAAUAUUUUAAAUAAUAACAUAGAAUAUUACCUUAUUUUUAGUUUACCUAUACUAUUUUUUAUAGUAAAGGAUAAUUUAAAUAAGUUAGUAUUAACUAGAUAUAGUGUUGGAUAAGUUACUUCUAUUAGACCCGAAGCUAGGUGAUCUUCCCUAGACCAGAUUAUAAUGGAUCGAACGGGUGAAUGUUGCAUAAUUCUCCGAUGAGUUU